GAUGAACGCUGGCGGCGUGCCUAAUACAUGCAAGUCGAGCGAACAGAUGAGGAGCUUGCUCCUCUGACGUUAGCGGCGGACGGGUGAGUAACACGUGGAUAACCUACCUAUAAGACUGGGAUAACUUCGGGAAACCGGAGCUAAUACCGGAUAAUAUAUUGAACCGCAUGGUUCAAUAGUGAAAGACGGUUUUGCUGUCACUUAUAGAUGGAUCCGCGCCGCAUUAGCUAGUUGGUAAGGUAACGGCUUACCAAGGCAACGAUGCGUAGCCGACCUGAGAGGGUGAUCGGCCACACUGGAACUGAGACACGGUCCAGACUCCUACGGGAGGCAGCAGUAGGGAAUCUUCCGCAAUGGGCGAAAGCCUGACGGAGCAACGCCGCGUGAGUGAUGAAGGUCUUCGGAUCGUAAAACUCUGUUAUUAGGGAAGAACAGAUGUGUAAGUAACUAUGCACGUCUUGACGGUACCUAAUCAGAAAGCCACGGCUAACUACGUG
rnacentral:rRNA from 1 species